AUACGGGGGGCGCAAGCGUUGUUCGGAAUCAUUGGGCGUAAAGCGCGUGUAGGCGGCUUGGUAAGUCGGGUGUGAAAUCCCGGGGCUCAACCCCGGAACUGCAUUCGAAACUGCCUCGCUUGAGUCCCGGAGAGGAAGGCGGAAUUCCCGGUGUAGAGGUGAAAUUCGUAGAUAUCGGGAGGAACACCAGUGGCGAAGGCGGCCUUCUGGACGGUGACUGACGCUGAGGUGCGAAAGCGUGGGGAGCAAACAGGAUUAGAAACCCUAGUAGUCC
rnacentral:rRNA from 1 species